UUCCUCUUGCUGAACUCCUAGACCCUGAAUAUAAGACUACUGGCUGGCCCAUGGAGAGCAAACGUUUUCCUCUGCUGCGAUGCUGUCUUUGACAUUGCCCUGGUGCCUGCUUCCGACCCCCAGGAGAAAGUGCUGUAUAAAGAGGUGAGAGACCUGGGGUUUCCCUCUGUCUCUGUGUAACUGAACUCAUGUCUUCCCUCCCUAGCCUCAGUUGUCCUGUCGGUUUAGUGGGAGACUUUGGCUAGUUAUUUCUUUUUCUAUUAUUUUUUUUUGAGACAGCAUCUCACUCUCACCCAGGCUGGAGUGUAGUGAUGAGAUCUCGGCUCACUACAACCUCUGCCUCCUGGGCUCAGGUGAUCCUCCUGCCUCAGCCUCUUGAGUAGCUGGGACCACAGGUGUGUGCCACCACACCUAGCUAAUUUUUGUAUUUUUAGAGGAGAUGGGGUUUUUUUUUUUUUUUUUUUUUUUUUUUUUAGACUGAGUUUUGCUCUUGUUGCGCAGGCUGGAGUGUAGUGGUGUGAUCUCCGCUUACUGCAACCUUUGCCUCCCAGGUUCAAGCAAUUCUCCUGCCUCAGCCUCCAAAUAGCUGGGAUUACAGGCACCUACCACCAUGCCCAGCCAAUUUUUGUAUUUUUAGCAGAGACGGGGUUUCACCAUGUUGUCCAGGCUAGUCUCAAACUCCUGACCUCAGGUGAUCUGCCCGCCUUGGCCUCGGCCUCCCAGAGGCCCAGAUGAGAAGAUGGUCUGGGCACGGUGGCUCACGCCUGUAAUCCCAGCACUUUGGGAGCCGAGGCAGGUGGAUCACGAGGUCAGGAGUUAGCUGCCACACCCAGCCCUGGCUAGUUAUUUCUCAUGGUUCUUUUCAUCUCCAUAUCAUGUCUCACCCAUAUCUGAAAUCUGUGUCUAGACCACAGUAGGUGCUUAAUAAAUGUUUACUGCAUAAUUACAUCCUUCUCUGUCUUGCAUCUCUCUUGCUACUGGAACUGACCAAGAGGGAAAUUAGGCUCAGGGGAUUUUACAGGUGGGGCAGGGUAGCCGGGUAAUCCCUUAUCCCCUCACCCCUCCCGGGGACCAGGCAGGAGGGAGGGCCAUUGAUUGGGAAACAUCUCGGCUCCUGGCGGCAACUGGAGGGAUUCAGGACACCUGCUCGGAGCAGCCACCAGGGGGCAGCAGACACUGCAAAAAUGGAAGAGGGCUUUGAAACCGGAGUCCAGGGUCUCAGUCAGUCUACGCUGUGCUGGGUGUGAGGAUGGAACUCGGUCCCUGGCUGCAAGAAGCCCCCACAGCAGACGGAGGGACAGCCACACCAGCAGAGUCGUUUGUGACAGCGCAGAACUGCAACAGGGAGGUUCACCUAAUUAACACCCACUGGACUGCAAACUCGACAAGGCAAGGCCAGACUGCAUGUUUUUGCACUCCCUUCCACCCCUACCCUGCUGGAAUUCUUCUACCUACCAUGAAGUAUGACCCACAGUCCAACCCAACAAAGAUCUGCUGAUGGAAGAAACGGGGCAAUGCCUGUACAUGGGGCCUUCAGGUCCGGCUGGAACAAGGCGGCUUCCCUGUUUUACUCUGCUGUGGCCUGUUUGUUUAGGUGGCAGGGGCUUGGACAAUGGGCGUCCAUGCCGAGGUAAGCAGGUGCGCGGGAAGGCGGCGGUGGCUUUCAUCUGCCGGCAGCCCCCACGCCCCGUCAUUAGGCAGGGCCUGCGCAGCAGGGUAUGCCAUUAUGUCUCCCCGGGCUGAUGUAAUUAUACAUUGACAUAAUUAACCCAGCAAGCGCAUUAGGCAGGCCAGCUAAAAAUUCAUCUAUAAUUAUUUGUUGUGUGCAUGCUAAUGAGUCCAUCUGCACUGCCUUUGUACAACACGAACAAAUUAAUUUACAAGUCUGGAUUUUUUAAUAAGUUCAAGGAAACGCUUCCUAUUGUGUCCCGGUUUUUGAGACAGGAGGAAAAAAGGCAACGAGCACUCGCCGGGGUCAGGGAAGUUAGACAAACACAAGACGGUGCGGUGCCACGCGGACUGCGCAGGGCCACGGAGGGCUUGCUCCGGUUCCAAGGAGGGGGAGGAUCCGGCUCGUGGCCCAGGGGCCCUGCUGGCCAUGAGCCCAUUGAGCCAAACGACUAUACUUGGUGAUAAAGGAUGUCUGUCACUCACCCUGUUCGCAGGGAUUAGAUACAAUGGAGCUGUCAAUUAAGAUGCCCCGCCUUCCCCUGGCAGAGGGUCAGAUGCUCUGCCCUGGGAAUUUGAAUGAAUCCCUCAGCCGGCCCAGCUACUCACUGCUCUGGUCCCAUCUGACCCAGGUGGUCUCACCAUUCUCCCCCACCUUCU
rnacentral:lncRNA from 1 species